rnacentral:rRNA from 1 species
GAUGAACGCUGGCGGCGUGCCUAAUACAUGCAAGUCGAGCGAACAGACGAGGAGCUUGCUCCUCUGACGUUAGCGGCGGACGGGUGAGUAACACGUGGAUAACCUACCUAUAAGACUGGGGUAACUUCGGGAAACCGGAGCUAAUACCGGAUAAUAUAUUGAACCGCAUGGUUCAAUAGUGAAAGACGGUUUUGCUGUCACUUAUAGAUGGAUCCGCGCCGCAUUAGCUAGUUGGUAAGGUAACGGCUUACCAAGGCAACGAUGCGUAGCCGACCUGAGAGGGUGAUCGGCCACACUGGAACCGAGACACGGUCCAGACUCCUACGGGAGGCAGCAGUAGGGAAUCUUCCGCAAUGGGCGAAAGCCUGACGGAGCAACGCCGCGUGAGUGAUGAAGGUCUUCGGAUCGUAAAACUCUGUUAUUAGGGAAGAACAAAUGUGUAAGUAACUAUGCACGUCUUGACGGUACCUAAUCAGAAAGCCACGGCUAACUACGUG